UUGACAAUGUCAGAGUAUUCUUGGGUGAACGGAUGUGGCAUUGUGACUCUGCAAGUCAUUCCAAAAUUCCCAAGGUGAUUUUGUCUGCCCGAGAUCAAUCACCACAACAAAAGCAUGUGAUAAAGACAUAAGACAAACAAACGGCAAGUAUUCAUUCCAAAGUUCGGUUGAGUUGAUCUGAAACACAUGACAAGGACACAGAGAAAAGCCUGCGGUGUGCUUUUCAUGCAAAAAGCAUCUCGUGUCUCAUAUGACAAAGCUAUCAUGUAAUCCUUUGUUUUCUAAAAUAAUUACUGCUUUUUUUUUAAUUUUGCGUGACUCACUGCUCUCUACUUGGAACUUUUAGUCAUCAUUACCAAGAGACUGAACCUCCGGGGAACACACAGAACACGUGAAUGGGAGUGGUUAUUUGACAUGUUUGUCCACUGGUGACUCAUAGCAGCUCCGUAGGUCUGAUAGAGGGAGUGCUUCAAAAUUAAGUAAAACGUUUUCAUCGUGUGAACGAACUUCCAUCUCAGUCAACGCAGCCUGUUCCAUAACACUGGAUGACUUCUGAAUCAUUCUAAUAUUUGAAAGUGCAUGGAGUUCAGCGUGGCAGACAAAUCGCAUUGCUGACAUCUCUGCCACGGGGAUCCUCCAAUGAACACCUGACUGUCGCAGAGGCUAUUUCUUACAUCCUUUUCAGUACUGUCUCCAUGCUGCGAGAGAGAUUCAGACUCGGACUGGGCCAGAGAAGGCGUCUCGGAACCCUGGUUGAGAGG